rnacentral:lncRNA from 1 species
AAUAAAAUUUCAUUCUCCUUAAUAAAGUAAUAAAUUUAAGAAUGCAAGGCGUAGGUUACGCCUUCUACCGCCCUCUGUCGGAAAUCGGCAGGAAGUCAUCGACCGUGAGCUGUCUGAUCCUGGAUCGGCCUUCCUCGCCAUCUAGCGUGGGAUAGCUGCACUCUUGUAUUCCUCUAUGGACUUACGUGGAUCAUAGUUGCCAUUUUGAAAAAUAGAAGUAAAUCGUCAUCGGGCGUUUGCCUUCCUUCCUUUUAUUUGUAACCAGACUUAAUUAUGGGUUUUUUUUUAAGCUCCGCGUUAAUCGCGAAGAGUUUAGUAUUAUAUUUUAUUGUUGACUUAAUUUCCAUUGAACGUCCGGAGCCGGCUGUUUGCGGUGCGAGCCGAUUUAGGCUUGGCAACACUAGUCCCGUCCAAAAUGGCGAAUGAGAUGGGAUUUCUUUUUGCCGGAGAGAGAGUUGAAGGGAUAUCGUUGGCCCAAGCUAAAAUCGGGCGCAAUCGCCCGUUUGAGUGAGUUUCAAUAGUGAUUCGGUUGUGUAUUUCUUUUUAGUUGGUUAGUUUCUAACGAAGCGUUGCAUAUUUUCCAGCCCCGGAAUCGGACGUGAAUAAAACCAUGUUCUGAUGGUGAUAGGCGACGCCCAGCGUGCCCGGAUGUCGAAAUAGGUGCAAUUUUGCCCUCUGCUGGCCCUUUCUCCAUCAACGGGUUCACGCCGCGUCGCCUAAACCUCGCGCCGGCCGCGAGAGAUCCCCCUGGUGUUCCGGUAACUUGUGGGCAGCAGAUUGCUGCUGUUCUACCUACUCCCGACGUUUCACCCCAAGGCUGCUGACGUGGCAGUUGUGGUGUUUCGAGGUCAGAUCUUUCCACGUUUACUUAUUGACUGAAUGAACCGGCCUUUCGGUUCUGGCGCCCUUCCGUGUAACUACCUUAAUAUAUAUUGACCGCUGUAUCCGUUUCUACCAGUAAUGAUAAUUUAGAGCUCGCUGACCCACGUUUGUUCCCUUAAAAUAUAAACUCAACAUUAUUGUUCUCGUGAGCUAGCCCUCGGCAAACAAUUGUUACCGUGUAUCUAGGAUAACAAAUUAGCAUAAACAAUUUAGAUUUUUUUCCUGAAUUCAAUAAAUACCUGGUUCCUCUUCAA